rnacentral:tRNA from 3 species
GCGCCCGUAGCUCAAUUGGAUAGAGCGCUUGACUACGGAUCAAGAGGUUAGGGGUUCGACUCCUCUCGGGCGCGCCA